AAAGUGCUCCCUCCGUCCCAAAAUUCUUGUCUUAGAUUUGUCUAGAUACGGAUGUAUGAAGUCACAUUUUAGUAUUAGAUACAUCCGUAUCUAGACAAAUCUAAGACAAGAAAUUUGGGACAGAGGGAGUAGUUG
rnacentral:pre_miRNA from 1 species